UACGUAGGGUGCAAGCGUUGUCCGGAAUUAUUGGGCGUAAAGAGCUCGUAGGCGGCUUGUUGCGUCAGCUGUGAAAACCCGCAGCUCAACUGUGGGCUUGCAGCUGAUACGGGCAGGCUUGAGUUCGGUAGGGGAGACUGGAAAUUCCUGGUGUAGCGGUGAAAUGCGCAGAUAUCAGGAGGAACACCGGUGGCGAAGGCGGGUCUCUGGGCCGAUACUGACGCUGAGGAGCGAAAGCGUGGGGAGCGAACGG
rnacentral:rRNA from 1 species